rnacentral:rRNA from 1 species
CAAUAGCGUAUAUUAAAGUUGUUGCAGUUAAAAAGCUCGUAGUUGGAUUUCUGGUGGGAGCGAUCGGUCUGGCGCUUAGCGCGAGUACUUGCAUCGUCUCCGGCCAUCCUUGGGGAGAGUCUGUCUGGCAUUAGGUUGUCGGGCAGAGGAUCCUCAUCGUUUACUGUGAAAAAAUUAGAGUGUUCAAAGCAGGCUUAUGCCGUUGAAUAUAUUAGCAUGGAAUAAUAAGAUAGGACUUUGGUACUAUUUUGUUGGUUUGCGCACCAAAGUAAUGAUUAACAGGGACAGUUGGGGGUAUUCGUAUUCCGUUGUCAGAGGUGAAAUUCUUGGAUUUACGGAAGACGAACUACUGCGAAAGCAUUUACCAAGGAUGUUUUCAUUAA